rnacentral:rRNA from 1 species
GACGAACGCUGGCGGCGUGCUUAACACAUGCAAGUCGAACGGUAAGGCCCUUCGGGUACGACGAGUGGCGAACGGGUGAGUAACACGUGGGUGAUCUGCCCUGCACUUCGGGAUAAGCUUGGGAAACUGGGUCUAAUACCGGAUAGGACCACGGUCUGCAUGGAUUGUGGUGGAAAGCUUUUGCGGUGUGGGAUGGGCCCGCGGCCUAUCAGCUUGUUGGUGGGGUGAUGGCCUACCAAGGCGACGACGGGUAGCCGGCCUGAGAGGGUGUCCGGCCACACUGGGACUGAGAUACGGCCCAGACUCCUACGGGAGGCAGCAGUGGGGGAAUAUUGCACAAUGGGCGCAAGCCUGAUGCAGCGACGCCGCGU